rnacentral:rRNA from 1 species
UACGUAGGGGGCUAGCGUUGCUCGGAAUUACUGGGCGUAAAGCGCACGUAGGCGGCUCUUUAAGUCGGAGGUGAAAUCCUGGAGCUCAACUCCAGAACUGCCUUCGAUACUGAAGAGCUCGAGUCCGGGAGAGGUGAGUGGAACUGCGAGUGUAGAGGUGAAAUUCGUAGAUAUUCGCAAGAACACCAGUGGCGAAGGCGGCUCACUGGCCCGGUACUGACGCUGAGGUGCGAAAGCGUGGGGAGCAAACAGG